rnacentral:rRNA from 1 species
UUAAAUUGAAGAGUUUGAUCAUGGCUCAGAUUGAACGCUGGCGGCAGGCCUAACACAUGCAAGUCGAACGGUAACAGGAAGAAGCUUGCUUCUUUGCUGACGAGUGGCGGACGGGUGAGUAAUGUCUGGGAAACUGCCUGAUGGAGGGGGAUAACUACUGGAAACGGUAGCUAAUACCGCAUAACGUCGCAAGACCAAAGAGGGGGACCUUCGGGCCUCUUGCCAUCGGAUGUGCCUAGAUGGGAUUAGCUAGUAGGUGGGGUAACGGCUCACCU